rnacentral:siRNA from 1 species
UCACAGCGAUUUGUUGCCCAUCAA